rnacentral:rRNA from 1 species
GAUGAACGCUGGCGGCGUGCUUAACACAUGCAAGUCGAACGAUGAAGCCCAGCUUGCUGGGUGGAUUAGUAGCGAACGGGUGAGUAACACGUGAGUAACCUGCCCUUAACUCUGGGAUAAGCCUGGGAAACUGGGUCUAAUACCGGAUAGGAGCGUCCACCGCAUGGUGGGUGUUGGAAAGAUUUAUCGGUUUUGGAUGGACUCGCGGCCUAUCAGCUUGUUGGUGAGGUAAUGGCUCACCAAGGCGACGACGGGUAGCCGGCCUGAGAGGGUGACCGGCCACACUGGGACUGAGACACGGCCCAGACUCCUACGGGAGGCAGCAGUGGGGAAUAUUGCACAAUGGGCGCAAGCCUGAUGCAGCGACGCCGCGUGAGGGAUGACGGCCUUCGGGUUGUAAACCUCUGUCAGUAGGGAAGAAGCGAAAGUGACGGUACCUGCAGAAGAAGCACCGGCUAACUACGUG